rnacentral:lncRNA from 1 species
UUCAUCGUAUUUCAGUUAUUCCCCAUCUCAAUCCAACAACACCAGACAGCCAACAAAGCAAAACACUCAAGGUAUUAUUACUAUUUCAUACUCAAUUUAGCCGCACUCAUAUCCAAUACAUAGUCAGUUAAGAAACACCAUAAAUAGGUGAAUAAGCAUGAUAGACAAAUAAUACCAAUGUAUAGUAUGAGGAUGUGCAUAAGUCAGUUUACUUCCAUCAAGAACCAACAACAGCCUAUGACCUUUAUACGAGCUAAAUGCAGUAAGGAUUUCCUUAAUACAACAGCAAGUUCAGUGCUUAGUGCAAUUUAUUGCAUAAUCCUUAUAUGAAAACCAAGACUUCACUGUAGAGCUAUAGAUUGACUUAGCUUUUAGAGAGGGCGGGGGCUACUGCCCUGUUUGUUCGGGCCGAAGGACGUCGAGUGGGCGGCAACUCGCGGGGACAGCAGCGUCGGCGGCGUCGAGCGGUGAAAGGCAGACGACUCUCGAUCACAGCGAUGGCCCUCGCCGAUUUUGGAGUAGCAGCAGCGGCGGCGUACCCAUCGCCCGAAUCCAGCAGCAGCGCGGCUGCUCGAACCGCCGACCCGGAGAAAGCAGCAACGACAGACCUCCCUCUACUCGCCGGAGGGACGUAACGGCGACAAAGUGGCCGGAUUCUGGAAGAGGAAGAGGGUGUGUGGCCGGUUCUUUUUGGGGGAAGGAUAGGGCUCAAUUCUUGAGUGGUCUCCCCUGAAGCUGAGAGACAGCAGCAGCGGCUCGGUGCACGGCGACGGUGGAUUUCAGGCGGAGCAACGCCGGCUUGAGGCGACAACAUCGCCGAAGAUUUAAGGAGCGGAGGCGGCGAUUUCUGAUUUGGGUGGAAUUAGGGCUCGAUUCUACACGAAGAUUGUUGCAAGUGAGAAAUUGAGAGAGGGAAUGGGGUGGCGAGCGUCAGACUCAGGAUUGCGGCCGUUCGCAGACGACGACCGAUCGCCGAAUUGCGGAGCGGCGACAGCGGGUCUGCCGGAGGCAGAUCGAGUGAGAAGAGAGAGAGAGAGAGUGCCGAUUUUGGGCAGUGAGAGAGAGAGAGAGAGAGAGAGAGAGACCGAGUGGUGUGAAGGGAUUGGGCUUUCCCUUUUAAUUGUUGUUGGGCCUUCCUUUGUUUUGCAGUUGGGCCUUAUUCAUUUUAAUGUGUGGGCCUCUUCCUUAAUUAAUUCUUUGGGCUGAUAAUUAUUACAAAAUUGGGUUUAUUAUUUAGUUGAUGGGCUGCCAUGACUUUUAAUUCAGGCCCACUUCUACUUAUUAAUUAUUAGGCUGCCAUUGUUUGGGCCUUUUAAUUAUUGGACUAUUAUUAUUAUUUCUUUCACAUUUAUUUGAGCUCGAUUAUUGAUUAGCCUUGAUUAUUCGAAUAAUUCGAUUGAGCUGUUUCCUUUUGAUCGAUUAUACAGAGCGAAACCUAUUUUAAUUACCAAGUGGGUUAGAACACUCUAGAUAAGUGGAUUAAUUAUAGUUAUUAUCCGACCUCAUGGGAUGAGCCUUAUUUAAGUUAUUUAUUUUAUUUAAUCCGAGAGUUAGGAUUAAUAGUGGAAUUUCCCGGACUAUUAAGUCGGAAUAAUGAGUCAUGCAUAAGAGAGUCAUGCAUAUUUAUUUUCGCAUUCUCAUUAAUCGAGGAUUCUCUUCGAGCACAUAUCUUAUUUAAAUUUCUCGCAAUAAAGCUAAGUAAAUAAAAAAAAAGCCCUAACUAAUGGGCUGCGAAAUAAAGCUAAGUAAAUAAAAAUUGAAGUCUUUCACACUUCGGCCCACUCGCACGUAAUAAGAUUAAUCAAACACGGGCUCAAUUCGCCAACUCCACAAUCUCCAAUUGGCUUCUUGAUCAACUCUUGCUUCCAAACUUCUUCAACUAAGAUCAUCAAGCUCUCCUUGAACUUCUUGGCUCGAGCUCUUGUAACUGGACCAACAGGAACAUGCACCGGGUCUUGCACCAACGAACCUUGGGCUGCAUCAGAAGGAGUUAGGCACGAGGCUAAAUUUCAGCACCGCCUUCCAUCCAUAGACAGAUAGGCAAUCUGAAAGGACAAUUCAGACCCUCGAAGACAUGUUAAGAACAGUGGUGUUAGACAGAGGCGGAAAUUGGGAAUCGGUGCUGCCAUUGAUCGAGUUUGCCUACAAUAAUAGUUAUCAGGUGACCAUUGAUAUGGCGCCUUACGAGGCGCUGUAUGGAAGGAAGUGCAGAUCCCCACUUUACUGGGAUGAAGUGGGUGAAAGAAAAGUUUUAGGACCGGACAUGGUCAAUGAGAUGGUUGAGAUAGUCCGCCAGAUCAGAGGGCGAAUAAAGGAGGCACAGGAUAGACAGAAAUCUUACGCUGAUGCACGCCGAACUGAGUUACGUUUUGAAAUAGGAGACAAGGUCUUCCUAAAGGUAUCUCCUACCAAGGGGAUAACUAGGUUUGGUGUCAAGGGAAAACUUAGGCCCCGGUUCGUAGGACCUUAUGAGAUUCUAGAGAGGAUAGGUCCAGUGGCCUAUAUGAUGUAGCCCGAACAGAGCCAAGCUCGCGCCAAAGCAGAGUUGAAUCCCGCGCCAGACCAGAGCCAAGGACGCCAGAGGACUCGAGCUCGCCAGCGGAAUCGAGCUCGCCAGCGGAGUCAUCUCGCCAGCGGACUCAAGUCAGCCUAGCGGAAGUCAGCUNUAUAUAAUACUUGAAGCAGAGUUAUUAUUUUAUUUCACGUGAAAAACCGCGAUGAGGAUUAUUGAGCAGUCAAUAAUUAUUAUUUCAGAUUAUAACUGACUUAGCAAAGUCAUGUUAUUUAUUAAGUGCAAUAGAAGUAUUAUUUAUAUUAUUAGUUGUUAUUAUUUUUGUACUUGCUUAAGUCGUGAAUUUAUUCCGGCUUGUGAGGAGAAUUAAAUCUUCGGAUUUAAUUUAAAUAUUAGAUGAGCAAACGAAUUAAAUCUACGGAUUUAAUUGAGAUUUAUUUUACAGUCCAUCGAUGCUAGCAAGCAAGAAAUCAGAUAUCGUGUAUAUAUAUAUAUAUAUAUAUAUAUAUAUAUAUAUAUACACGACUAUAUAUAUAUAUAUACACCCUACAUUAGUGAGAAUCCAAGACUAGUAUUUCAUUAAGGGUGUUACUAUAUUACAAGUUUAGAAUUACCAAAAGGCAAGAGCUUUACUUUAGCCAUAUCCCACAUUACUACACAUCAAAUGCAACACAUUCUUUUGUUUAACACCAUCAGCCAACAAGGAAGCAAAGAAGAAAAAAAAAAAAAAAGAGGGGGGGCAGGCGUGUGGCUGAAACAGCCCAGCUUCCAGCCUCCCAACUCCACCAGUUCCCUUCUCCCUACACCCUACCACCUAUUCCUUAGCAUGCUCCAGCAGCCCCAACUCCUCCAAUCACCUCCACUCUACCCUAUACCUUGUCUCUAGCAUACUCAAGUAUGCAGCCAACAUCUCCCUCUAUUUGCUUCAACUCCAGCCAAGAACUUGCCAUUUCCUUCAUUCUUCACACACGAGUUCGCGGGAGAGCAGGCGAGUUUCCUUCGGCCAACGGACUCCCUCUUUCACUCACAGCCGCUGCUCGACUUCCCUGCUGCCAUACUUGAACAAGUUUCAGUUCAUUUGAGACUUCAUUAACAGGAGAGAAAGAGCUGCCCAACUUCCGCCAAAUCCUCAAGGUAAGCUUCGGCUUGAACGUUUCCACCUCCUUCCAUAACCUCCACCUGCAUUUUAAAGCAAUAACACCUUCAUCGUAUUUCAGUUAUUCCCCAUCUCAAUCCAACAACACCAGACAGCCAACAAAGCAAAACACUCAAGGUAUUAUUACUAUUUCAUACUCAAUUUAGCCGCACUCACAUGGAGUACAUGGUCAGUUAAGAAACACCAUAAAUAGGAGAAUAAGCAUGAUAGACAAGCAAUACCAAUGUAUAGUAUGAGGAUGUGCAUAAGUCAGUUUACUUCCAUCAAGAACCAACAACAGCCUAUGACCUUUAUACAAGCUAAAUGCAGUAAGGAUUUCCUUGAUACAACAGCAAGUUCAGUGCGUAGUGCAAUUUAUUGCAUAACCCUUAUAUGAAAACCAAGACUUCACGGUAGAGCUAUAGAUUGCCUUAGCUUUUAGAGAGGGCGGGGGCUACUGCCCUGUUUGUUCGGGCCGAAGAACGU